UACCUACCAAAUAAAAAUACUUAUAAAAGCACGAACGAUUUAUACCAUGGCGUUUUUUUUUAUAAAUUUGCAGUUUUAUCAAUAAUUUUCCGUAGUGUUUUUCUCAAUUAUUUUGGAAAUCCCUUAGGAAAUCAAAAAAUAACUCUCUCAAUGCACCACCUAGAGAAAAUUUCUUGUCAACACUUAAUACUUUGGAGCGAAAUUUCUUGUAGAAAAGUCAAUCACAGAUAAAAAAAAUAUACAAAUAAAAACACAUCAUAGUUAAACCGAUGCAUAUAUUAUAUCUAUGUACACGCUUAUUCAAUAAUAUUAUAUUUAAUUCGCAACUUAUUAUGUCUUUAUAGAGGGCAGGACUGCAGUAUGAGUACAACAACGUUCUCACUUUUAAACUUGAAAUACAAAUUUGAUUCAUACCUGCCUGGAUCAUUGUCAAGCCUAUCAGCCCUGGCAGACGUCUACACCCUUCUACCUGGGCCAGACCUCCCCUGUCUAAAAUAAUCAAAAUUUAUGCUAUGCGAAGGUUUAAAAUAUUAAAAGGUAUUAUUUCUUCAGGAAGUGGAGUAAAAGGGAAUUGGUAAAAAAUCUCUACCAUGUAUCUCCCUAAAAGUUGUAGGUCGGACCAAAAUCCCUGUUAAAUAGUAUUAUUAUUCAGGCAGAAAAAAAAGAACAAAUAUUUGACACGAUCGUAUUCGUUCGAAAAAUAGUCCUGAAAAUUAGGCGGUCGGACCGAGAAUCGAACCAUAGGCUCUCGAUUAGUGGGCGAUUAUUCUAUCACUGAGCUACCCGGUACUUAACUUCUAACACUAUUUCCGCUGUACCAGAACGGUCUAACGUGCCAGGUUCGUUCCAACUUAAUAAAUAUUAUGAAUACGAUUUUUUUAUUUUUUUCGCGUCCGAUUGUACUAAUUUACAUUUGUCAUAGAUCGCAUGUGAAUAUUUGAUCAUAUAUAUUGGUUCAAAUAGUUUGAAUGCGCAACGUUUACUGUUUGUCAAACGGCGAAUAAUUAUUUUCGCGUAUACCAGCAAAUAUGAAUGUCCGCUAAUAUAAUUUAUAGCGAAUUAUAAUAAUUUAUGUUCUAAAAUGGGAUAAAAGUCGAAAUUUGUGGCAAAAAAUAUCAUUAUACUUAAUCAGUAUUACAGAGUGGAAGGUGUCUUCAUGUCAAACUAUUUAUUUCACAUAGUCCUGACUGUGUAUAGAAUA